AUUAAAACAUGUGCAUAUCUUAUCUUUUAUGCCUGUUUGUCUCGUUGUGCAUGGGGCAAGACCGAAAGGGUGCGGUUCUAGUAAGUGUAUAAAUAGAUGUUUGAAAUGAUUCACUCUUGGUAAAUUAAACGACAUUGACCGAUUGAAACAAUAAAGAAUUGUCGAAGAUGAAAGUUUUAGGAGCCAUAUUUGUAUUCCUCUUGAGCAUGUGCCUAGCUAUAGGCACCAAGGAGAAAAAGUCCUUAGACUACAGCCUACUGCAAUGCCCUCCAGAUGAACCUUGCCAAGUUGUACAUUACCACCUGCCAAAGAGGCAACUGACGUUACAAGCAAUCUGUACAGCUUCUUGUCCGCUCCUGGAUUUUGUUUGCCUCAGCACUUGCGCUAGAAUACCCGGUUAAGUCUGGGGUGUACACAAUAAAAAGUAUCUGCAUAAAUGUACAUUCAUCAUCACUUUGUAUGGUUCAAAUAAACAAUGUUAUUUAAAACUU